GAUGAACGCUGGCGGCGUGCUUAACACAUGCAAGUCGAGCGGAGAUAUUUUGGAGUUUACUUUAAAAUAUCCUAGCGGCGGACGGGUGAGUAACGUGUGGGUAACCUGCCUCAUACUGUGGAAUAAUCAUGUGAAAACGUGACUAAUACCGCAUGUCAUCACUAGAAGGCAUCUUCUGGUGAGAAAAGGAUUUAUUCGGUAUGAGAUGGACCCGCAUCUGAUUAGCUAGUUGGUGAGAUAAUAGCUCACCAAGGCAACGAUCAGUAGCCGACCUGAGAGGGUGAUCGGCCACAUUGGGACUGAGACACGGCCCAA
rnacentral:rRNA from 1 species